GGCCCCAUGGAUUAAAAGGGAACCGGGUGAGAGUCCCGGACAGUCCCGCUGCUGUGAAGCUCCGCCAACCAUUCGGAAGUCCGCACCACUGAUCGAAGGAUCGGGAAGGUUCCGGAUGGGGAGUCAGUCAGAAGACCUGCCAUCGAAUUUU
rnacentral:ncRNA from 1 species